GGGUAUGAGGAUGAUUUGGCUGUAACAUCUGUCACCCCAUUGACCACUAGGGCUGAUUCAACUGAUCUGACUGGCUAGGCAGGUGACCCCUUCGUCCAUCACUGCUCCAUGUACAUGUGUCCCUCCUGAAGCUGUGUGCUCAGUUGAAGAGGAUAGUCUUUCCCAAAUAGAAGACAGUCUUCAAUCAGAGGCAGAGGAGUAGCUGCGGUCCCUGCUCGCACCUCCAAACAAGCACUCAAAAGCCCACACCAAACCUGCCUGCUGCCUAUGGAUCAGGAUGUAAAGCUCUCUGGUACUUCUCCAGCAUCAUGUCUACCUGCAUGC
rnacentral:snRNA from 1 species